rnacentral:rRNA from 1 species
ACUCGAGCGGAAGACUUAGAAGAGGAAUAUGAGACCCUAGAAGACGAAUACAGGACCCGAGAGGACGAAUAAUCUAAAUAUAGAAUCCUAGAAGACGAAUAUGAAUAUGAAACCCUAGAAGACGAAUAUGGGAGCCCAGAAAACGAAUAUGGGAACCCAGAGAACGAAUAUAAGGAAGACUCAGAAGAAGAUUUAGAGGAUGAAUACGAGAGCCCAGAGGAAGAUGCCAUCUUAAAAAAAGAGGGUUUGAUUGAGCAUCGAGGAACAAAAGAAUUUAGUCUAAAAUACCAAAAAGAAGUAGAUCGGUUUUUUUCAUUCUUCAAGAAAUAG